CCUUUACCUCAGGCAGAAAAAUGUCCUGACCCAUCUACACCAGUGGGUGUGCAAUGUCAUUUGUCCAGAUAUCCACGGAGCCAAUGGAGAGAUGAAGAAAGCUGAAUUCUGCUUGAAGAAAAGUUUGACCUAUGAUGAGGAAAACAACCGCAGCAAAUCCAAAGUCAGUGAUGUUUGUGAAGAUCUCUGGACUAGAGCCUCAGCUAAGGAAAGGAAAACACAGCAGGUUGUCAGCCAGCCUAGAUUAAAAAGAAAAAAGGAAGAAGCAGAAGAAGCAGAAGCAGCUGCAGCAAUGGCAGGAGUGAAAUCGAUCAUGACAAAAUGGACAGGCAGGCAUGACUUCCAAUGUUUACAACACCCUAACAGAAUAUAUGAUUGAUCAUUUUUUCCCCAUUUUGCUCUGAUGAGCACCUCAUUUGUCAUUUGCACACAGCUCUGUGGCUCGUUUCCAGCCUGUUAGAGCCUUAAUGCGGCCAUAAGUGUGUCACAGAGCCUUGCUAUUGUAGUGCCCCUGGCCAGAAUCACACAAAACCUCUUGUCUCUCAGAAAGUGGAAAGGGAGCCUGUUGCUGUGCAUGGAGUCAAAGCAACCCUCUCAUCGAAGGCCUCCGUGCCAAACAGCAGGU
rnacentral:lncRNA from 1 species